rnacentral:rRNA from 1 species
GACGAACGCUGGCGGCGUGCUUAACACAUGCAAGUCGAACGAUGAACCGGGUGCUUGCACUUGGGGAUUAGUGGCGAACGGGUGAGUAACACGUGAGUAACCUGCCCUGGACUCUGGGAUAACCCCGAGAAAUCGGAGCUAAUACCGGAUAGGACCAGUCCUCGCAUGGGGGUUGGUGGAAAGUUUUUCGGUUUGGGAUGGACUCGCGGCCUAUCAGCUUGUUGGUGAGGUAAUGGCUCACCAAGGCGUCGACGGGUAGCCGGCCUGAGAGGGUGACCGGCCACACUGGGACUGAGACACGGCCCAGACUCCUACGGGAGGCAGCAGUGGGGAAUAUUGCACAAUGGGCGCAAGCCUGAUGCAGCAACGCCGCGUGCGGGAUGACGGCCUUCGGGUUGUAAACCGCUUUUAGUAAGGAAGAAGGGGAGCUUGCUCCUUGACGGUACUUGCAGAAAAAGGACCGGCUAACUACGUGCCAGCAGCCGCGGUAAUACGUAGGGUCCGAGCGUUGUCCGGAAUUAUUGGGCGUAAAGAGCUCGUAGGCGGUUUGUCGCGUCUGCCGUGAAAUCCUCAGGCUCAACCUGAGGUCUGCGGUGGGUACGGGCAGACUUGAGUGGUGUAGGGGAGACUGGAAUUCCUGGU